UACGUAGGUGACAAGCGUUGUCCGGAUUUACUGGGCGUAAAGAGCGCGCAGGCGGUCGAUCAAGUCGAGUGUGAAAGCCCCCGGCUCAACUGGGGAGGGUCAUUCGAUACUGAUCGACUCGAAGGCAGGAGAGGGUAGUGGAAUUCCCGGUGUAGUGGUGAAAUGCGUAGAUAUCGGGAGGAACACCGGUGGCGAAGGCGGCAUCCUGGACCGGCAUUGACGCUGAUGAGCGAAAGCCAGGGGAGCAAAGC
rnacentral:rRNA from 1 species